rnacentral:tRNA from 1 species
CACUAAGAAGCUAAACUGGUAUUAAGCAUUAGCCUUUUAAGCUAAAAACUGGUGACUACCCCCCACCCUUAGUGA